GUGUCAGCCGCCGCGGUAAGACGUAGGGGGCGAGCGUUGUCCGGAUUUAUUGGGCGUAAAGCGUGCGUAGGCGGCUGCGCAAGUCGGGUGUGAAACCCCGGGGCUCAACCCCGGAACUGCAUCCGAUACUGCGUGGCUAGAGGUAGGUAGGGGAGAUCGGAAUUCCUGGUGUAGCGGUGAAAUGCGCAGAUAUCAGGAGGAACACCGGUGGCGAAGGCGGAUCUCUGGGCCUUACCUGACGCUCAGGCACGAAAGCUAGGGGAGCGAACAGGAUUAGAUACCCCAGUAGUCC
rnacentral:rRNA from 1 species